AAAUAAUAAAAAAAAAACCUGAUCGUUACCUAUUUUACAGACCUCAAAUAAAUCUAAAGGAUCCGAAGAUUAUAAAUUUGCCACUUCAUCCCAAGAAAUUCUCUCAUUGCUAAUAUCAGCAGUUUCAGGGGGUAGUAUGGUCAUUUUUUGGAUGUAAUACCAGCAGCAGCACACUCUUGCCGUUCUGACACAGCAAGGGAGACAGUGAGAGCGUUGAGAAAUAAAUUACUAAACAAAUGCAGAGAGCGGGAGGGACAGGGUGAAGGUGAAGUGUUAUAUUUUCAGACGCAGACAAACCACCAGUUGCUGUGGCUUCUUCAAGAGAGAGAGAGAUGGUGAAUUCUACGCGGAUGGGAUCUAGCAGUGUUUAUACUUGCUACUGCAGCUUCACCUCCUGAUUUUGAUUGAUUGGAACCCACAUUCCGUUUCUCACUUGUUGUUCAAGUACCUAUCAUAUUACCAUCCAUGUAUUCACUUUUAUUUCCUAUUUUCCUUGCCCUUAUUGCUAUAUCGCAUCUCUCUCUUUAUGCCCACUAUCGAACUCUCAUUGCUUGUUAUCCCUCCUACUUCUGCUAAUCUUUGCCGUUUUCUGGGCAAUUUCUUUCUUUGUUCAAAAUGUUGAUAUGGUUUUUUUUUUCUUUUCCUGAUUUGGGUGAUGAUUUUUUGUAUUUGCAGGAUGCUUUUGAUCUACUACGUGCGUGUGUGCUUGUUUGUUUAUAUUUGUACUCAUAUUUGUGUGAGUAUUGAUAUAGAAAUAUAUCGGCCUAGAUGCUGGUUUUUAUGAUAAUAUCUGUGUUUCCUUUAAUAGUCUGUUGGUUGCUGAGGGAAUGUAACAGAAGCGAGAUUUCCAAUUUUUGGAGCUUCGAUUUCUCAUUGUCUAAAAACUUGAGGAGAAGAAAAAUCUUUGACAGAAUGGACAACGUCGAGGGGUUUUUGUUUUUCUGCAACAAAUUUGGUUUGAAAAUCCAGGAUUGAAUUGGUGUCAAACACAGGAGUUUGUUGAUUUGGAUAUUUGGCCCAAACGGGUUUCUGUUCUUUGGGAAUGGAAUAAAUCAGUUUCUAGCGUCCAAGAUCCAAAUGGAUUCUAUAAGUUUCUAAAUUUCUUGUUUUUACAUAUUUUGGAUA
rnacentral:misc_RNA from 1 species